rnacentral:rRNA from 1 species
AAGCAUCUAAGCGGGAAGCCCCCUUCAAGACUAGGUAUCCCUAUCAGAUCCCUGGAAGACCACCAGGUUGAUAGGCUGGGUGUGGAAGCGUGGCAACACGUGAAGCUAACCAGUACUAAUUGAUCGAUCGGCUUGAUUGAUCCC